rnacentral:rRNA from 1 species
UAAGACGAACCGUGCGAACGUUAUUCGGAAUCACUGGGCUUAAAGCGCGUGUAGGCGGAUCGGAACGUCGGAGCCUGAAAUCCCCCGGCUCAACCGGGGAACGCGGCCCGAAACGACCGGUCUCGAGGGGUGUAGGGGGGACUGGAACUUCCGGUGGAGCGGUGAAAUGCGUUGAGAUCGGAAGGAACGCCCGUGGCGAAAGCGAGUCCCUGGACGCCUGCUGACGCUGAGACGCGAAAGCUAGGGGAGCGAACGGGAUUAGAUACCCCGGUAGUCCUAGCCGUAAACGAUGAGCACUGGGUAGGGGGUCCGCCCAUGGACUCCCUGCCGCAGGGAAACCGUGAAGUGCUCCGCCUGGGGAGUAUGGUCGCAAGGCUGAAACUCAAAUGAAUUGACGG